rnacentral:lncRNA from 1 species
CAUCAAUCAGCCGCAAUUCUCAAAAGAACGAACCCACCCCCUUGUCAUCAUCUUCUUCGGCCCUCUCCAUUCUUCUGCCAUAGAACACAUACAACACAAUUCUGUUUCUGUAAUUAAAGCGUCAUCAUCACCAUCUUCCUUCAUUCUCUAAGCUUAAAAUCAUAAAUGAGUUACAAAUCAAAAUGGAUUGAAUAGGGUCUCCAGAUUUAAAUCUCAUUCGAAGUUCUUGUUAGUGGUGGUAUCGUCGAGCGUUAUGAUUUAUUUGUCUUGAUCCAGAUUCGAAAUACAACUGGGUGCUAUUGUUAGAUUUUAUUUCAGGGUUCAAAUCGGAUCGACAUCCUUGCUGUAUAAGUUUUUUCUUACUUAAUCAAAAUCAAGAGGAUUUUUUGCCCAAGAAAGGUCUAAUUCUCUUCUCUUACUCCUUGCAUAUUAUUCCUUUUUUUUACUUAUAAAUGACCUUAUGAAAUCAUCUUGUGGUUGAUAUUAUCAGUUGUGUGGUGUAUUUUUUAGCGAAAUAGUUGCUACAUUUGGAAUAACUGCCUCUAUUAACGUUUUCCAUCUAAUUCUUAUUCUUGUGUUCUUUUUUUCUUUUGUUGUGUAAUUCUAUUUCUCUCUCAAUUAAUGAGUUACUUCUCUAUGAUGGGCUAUCAUAUUAUAUUGUUUAUGUGAUUUCUUCAUUGCUUUAGAUAAAUUAGAUUCUUUUCGUGUGAUUCAAAGCCAUUGAUUGACAGGUUAUAUAGGUAUGAUAUUCUUUUAUAUAGGAUUUUUUUCGUGUGAUUCAAGCCAUUGAUUGAUAGGUUAUAUAUGUACGAUAUUCUUUUAUAUAUUGUAGAAAGAUUCAAUCUUCUUAGCAAAAUGAGUAAUGAAGAUAUCACAUCCAGCAAAUGGCUGUUAGACGAUUAGUUUAAGAAAAAUAAUUAAUGAAUAUCCGUUGCUUGCUUUAGGCGCGAUUGAUGAACCAUUGUGACUAUGGGUAUGGUUCCCGUGAUAUAGUUAUGGUACCUAAUUUCUUAAACUCGGGUGUGCAUUUCAUGUGACCCAAAUCCGAAUCUCAACAACGUUAAAUAAAAUGUGUCAUGGAUCGUGGGUGCAUUUCAUGUGACGUGGUUCAAGAUGUGUUUUAGAUAACGUCGAAUCUUCCUAAAAUUAAUUAAAAGCGGAUAAUAAGUUAAAAAUGUAACAUAGGCUAAAACAUGUAUUAAAAUCAAAUAAUAAGCCAAUUAUGAUUGUUUAAGCCCAUGCUCGAACCACAGAAUCUGGGGGUGCCUAACACCUUCCCUCGGGUUAACAGAAUUCCUUAUUCAGAAUUUUUGAUUUGCAGACUUCACAAGGAAAGUCAAAUUUUCCUCGAUUUGGGAUUUAAAAUAAAAAGGCGACUUUGGACACCAGAAAAUCCAAGUGGUCGCUCUGAAUAAAAUUAAAUAAAUAAUCUCAUUUCGAAUAAUAUCACUUAAAUUGGAAAAACCCCCUUAUGCACUAUCUUUUGGUGUGUAUGUAAAAAGGAGGUGUGAUAAACGCAGACGCAGUAAAAACGUAUUAUGUCUAUGCUCUUUGAAACAAUGACUUUGUUCAAGGCUUUCAUUUCUGCUAUCCAAACACUAUCAACCCUUUGUCAAACCCAUUUGAGCCGGUUACUUUUCUUUGGUUACUCUCUGGAACCCAAAAGUGUUGUUAAAAAAAAAAAUAACGAACAAAGAAAAAACAAAAAAAAGUGAACAAAAUUGAAAAAAUAACAAAUCAAAAAAUAAAAACAAAAGAAAAUCAAAAACAAAGUUUUACCGAACUACGUCUGACUUGAUUCCGAAAGGAUACGUAGGCAGCCUUUCUCUGGGGUUCUAUCAUACCAGUACAAAAAUCCCAAUUCCCCCCCCCCACCCCUAAUAACAAAACUGGGGCAGAUGAUAUAAUGGUUUGGCCAAAAGCCCACCACCAUGGUUCCAAAGUUGUAAUUUCAUCCAAAUUCCUUUCACCCAAAACCCUUCCAAGUCAUUCCGAUCAAUUGGUAAAGGCCUCAGAAUGGGAAAACUCCGUUGUUGGAGGCCGGUGCAACCAAACUAAGAGAAACAAAAUGAGAGAGUCUUAUUGGUGAAAUCAUACGGGCACCAUAAGGCGACGAUGAGUAGAGAAAUUGAAAAUGAGAGUGUCCGCUUAGUGAAAACUCGCAAAGAGCACUAUCGGGCGACGGUGAGAAGAGAAAGGAGAGAUGUCGAUUGGCGAAAACCCUAAAAGGGCAUCAUCAGCCGAAAAGAAGAUUGUUCAUCAUCGAAAGUCCUGGCAAGACUCCCUGGUUUUUGAAAUACGGGUUAAUGAGCUUAUGAGAAGCAGGGAAAAGUUUGUGCAAGUCGGGCAUCCAGCCUAAGAAGCAUGUCAUGUCUAUUUGAAGUCCGCAUGCACCCCAGAUUAGUCCUUAUUUUCUCCCCGAAAGGGAUGUUUUUCUUUAAUUUCAUUUUCUUACGUCACAUACUUUCCUUGAAUCCCUUUCGUUUUAACUCUGUCCCCCCGAACUAAUACAAAGAAAAGGUGGCAAGAUUGGAUUUACAGAGCUCUGCCUAACAAAAGCCGCCAAGGGAUAUCCAACCUCAGCGGGCGUAUCUAGCCAGUGCCGACUGGACAUGAUGGCUGAUGCUUCGAAAGCAAAGUGGUUGAAAAGAAAGGAAAUCAAAGUCAAAUGCUCAUAAAGGCAAAAUGAAGUUAAAAGGUUGAGUCCCAUAGGGCUAAUUGCCUUGGCAAUGUUUUCAAACGCCAAUGUACCAGAAGUUUGAAUAAAGAAGUCAAAAAAAAUGAAAGGACUACGAAGGCAAAAUAAAUCUGAAAGUUGAGUUCCACCGACCAACUAUCAAGGAAAAGUCUGGAAAAUCAGAGGUUCUUAACAGAAGCAAGGCCGAGAUCAAGCAAUCAAGGCCACAAAACCAACCACCGUUUCAAACUAACAAUUGUUCUUUGUUUGCAAAUUGAAACAAAUGCAAUUCAAGCAACCAGGCAAAAGCAGGUGCAGCCCCAAAAGAAAUGCACAGGUGCUAGGGACGGCUUCACAGCGACAAUAAGCCAAAAAGGGAAGUUUUCUUCAAAUUCUUUCACGCAGUUUUAAUAAAAGAGGAAAUAAAAAAGGAAUAUAACAAGAUCAAGGUAGCAUAGGUUCGCCAAUCUCUAGCUACAUCAUCCCCAAACCUAGGACCACAUUCCCUAGUUUUACCUAGCAUAACCUAUGGACCUCCCCAGCAUAACCCGAGGAUCUUUUCUUUUCCUCCUGACAUAGCCCGAGGGAUAUUUUUCCUUUUUCCCCGCAUAACCUGAGGAUCUUUUCUUUACCUCCCCGGCAUAACCCGAGGGUCAUUUUCCUUUUAUCCCCAGCAUAACCUGAGGAUCUUUUUUCUUUCUCCCAAGCAUAACUUGAGGAUCUUUAAUUUUCCUCCCCGGCAUAACCCGAGGGUCAUUUUCCAUCUAUUCCCAGCAGACCUCCUUUUUCCUCUAUCCCGGCAUAACAUGUGGAUCCUCCUGGCAUUACCCAGGAGCCUUUUCUUCUAUCCCAGCAUAACCCAUGGAUCCUCUCUGGUAUAACCCAGAAGCCUUUUUCUUCCUAUCCCGGCAUAGCCCGUGGAUCUCCCUGGCAUAACCUAGGGACCUUCUUCUUCUAUCCCGGCAUAACCCGUGGAUCCUCCCUGGCAUAACCCAGGAACCUUUUCUAUCCCAGCAUAACCCAUGGAUCCUCCCUGGCAUAACCUAAGGACCCUUUUUUUUCCCCGGCAUAACCCACAGAUCUUCCCUGGCAUAACCCAAGGACCUUUUUCUUUUAUCCCGGCAUAACCCGUGGAUCUCCUUGACAUAACCCAAGGACAUUUUUCCUCUAUCCUAGCAUAUCACAGGAGCCUUUUCUCCUAUACCGGCAUAACCCGUGGAUCCUCCCUGGCAUAACACAGGACCCAUUUCUUAUCCCGACAUAACCCGUGGAUCUCCCUGGCUAACCCAAGGAUCUUUUUCCUCUAUCUCGCAUAACCCAUAGAUCCUCCCUGGAAUAACCCAGGAGCCUUUUCCUCUAUCCCGGCAUAACUGGAUCCUCUCUGGCAUAACCCAGGACCCUUUUCUUAUCCCGUCAUAACACGUGAAUCUCCUUGCAUAACCUAAGGACAUUUUUUCUCUAUCCCGACAUAACCCAUGGAUCCUCCCUAGCAUAACCCAUGAGCCUUUUCUCCUAUCCCGGCAUAAAAUGUGGGUCCUCUCUGGCAUAACCAAUGACCCUUUUCUUCUAUCCCGGCAUAACCUGUGGAUCCUCUCUUGCAUAAGCCAUGAAUUUUUUCUUAUCUCGACAUAACCCGUAGAUCUCUGUGGCAUAACCCAAGGAACUUUUUCUCUAUCCCGACAUAACUCGUGGACUUUCUAUUUAUCCCCUAGCAGGAACCCUUUUCAAUCCCGGCAUAACCCAUAUAUCUAAGAUUUCACUCCCAAGAAUACAGAAUCCUGAUUUUUAUUAUUCUCAAGGAAUAAUAGUUUAGAUUUUUGCGUUGCAAAUAACUCACAAAAUUUUCCUAACAAACUGGGGAAGAACAAUUUCGUUCGUUUAUUUGUUUUGGUGUCUGAACAAGUUUUUACCUCAAGGCACAUGAUUCGAGAUGACGGGAGGGGUGAAUCUUUCAUACAGAAUAAAAGAAAAGAAGAAAAGAACAAGAAAAAAGAAGUGCACUCAAAGAGUUUGAGAAAGGAAAGGAUGCAGAUUGCUCGAAUUUGAUUCAAGAUCACAAGAUUCGCAUGUCCCACUCUGAUCCAUUGCUGAAGAAAGAACCAGGACCUACAGCUUACGAGUAUCAAGAUUCAGGUCAGGCAUCCACAGUCAGCUAAGACUCAAGAUCAAGCUUCAAGAAAUUCAUAAGUAGGAAUCUUGUAAUUCGUAGUUGAUAGACAUAGCUAGCUUAGCUUUUGAUUUUCCUUUUGGAUGUAAUAAAGAGGUCAGCAAGCAGUAGCAGUAGC